rnacentral:rRNA from 1 species
GUCCUUUUGUUUUAUAUUUAAGGUUUAACCUGCCCACUGAAUAAUUUAAAUGGCCGCAGUAUUUUAACUGUGCAAAGGUAGCAUAAUCAUUAGUUUUUUAAUUAAAAGCUUGUAUGAAAGGUUGGACGAGGUAAAAACUGUCUUUAUUUAAUUAAUUAUAAAAUUUAAUUUUUAAGUUAAAAAGCUUAAAUUUUUUUAAAAGACGAGAAGACCCUAUAGAUCUUUAUAUUUAUUAUUUUAUUUUUAAUUAAGAUUUAUUUAAAUUUUAUUAUAUUAAAUAUUUUAUUGGGGUAAUAAGAAGAUUAGAAAAAUUCUUUUAUAUAUUAUUCAUUGAUUAAUGUUUUAAUGAUCCAAUUUUAUUGAUUAUAAGAUUAAGUUACCUUAGGGAUAACAGCGUAAUUUUUUUAGAGAGUUCAUAUCGAUAAUAAAGUUUGCGACCUCGAUGUUGGAUUAAAGAUUAAUUUAGGUGUAGAUGUUUAAAUUUUUGGUCUGUUCGACCAUUAAAUCUUUACAUGAUCUGAGUUCAGACCGGUGUAAGCCAGGUCGGUUUCUAUCUUUAAUAAAAUAGUAUAUUUUAGUACGAAAGGACCAAAUAUAUAAUAUAUAAAUAUUUAUUAAUUUUUGAAUAUUAUUAAUUGCUUUGGCAGAUUAGUGCAAUGAAUUUAGAAUUCAUAUAUGUAAAUUUUUACAAGUAAUACUUGUUUUAUAUAGAUAUAAUAUUUUCUUUUAUUUGUAUAUUAUUAUUAGUUAUUUGUGUAUUA